CUCAACGAACGCUGGCGGCAGGCUUAACACAUGCAAGUCGAACGCCCCGCAAGGGGAGUGGCACGGGUGAGUAACGCGUGGGAAUCUACCCAUCUCUACGGAAUAACGCAUGGAAACGUGCUAAUACCGUAUACGCCCUACGGGGGAAAGAUUUAUCGGGGAUGGAUGAGCCCGCGUUAUUAGCUAGUUGGUGGGGUAAAGGCCUACCAAGGCGACGAUCCAUAGCUGGUCUGAGAAUGAUCAGCCACAUUGGGACUGAGACACGGCCCAAACUCCUACGGGAGGCAGCAGUGGAAUAUUGGACAAUGGGCGCAAGCCUGAUCCAGCCAUGCCGCGUGAGUGAUGAAGGCCUGGGUUGUAAAGCUCUUUCACCGGAGAAGAUAAUGACGGUAUCCGGAGAAGAAGCCCCGUAACUUCGUGCCAGCAGCCGCGGUAAUACGAAGGGGGCUAGCGUUGUUCGGAAUUACUGCGUAAAGCGCACGUAGGCGGACUUUUAAGUCAGGGGUGAAAUCCCGGGGCUCAACCCGAACUGCCUUUGAUACUGGAAGUCUGGAGUAUGGAAGAGGUAAGUGGAAUUCCGAGUGGAGGUGAAAUUCGUAGAUAUUCGGAGGAACACCAGUGGCGAAGGCGGCUUACUGGUCCUACUGACGCUGAGGUGCGAAAGCGUGGGGAGCAAACAGGAUUAGAUACCCUGGUAGUCCGCCGUAAACGAUGAAUGUUAGCCGUCGGGCAGUAUACUGUUCGGUGGCGCAGCUAAC
rnacentral:rRNA from 1 species